UACGAAGGGGGCUAGCGUUGUUCGGAUUUACUGGGCGUAAAGGGCGCGUAGGCGGGCGACUAAGUCAGGGGUGAAAUCCCAAGGCUCAACCUUGGAACUGCCUUUGAUACUGGUUGUCUUGAGUCCGGGAGAGGUGAGUGGAACUGCGAGUGUAGAGGUGAAAUUCGUAGAUAUUCGCAAGAACACCAGUGGCGAAGGCGGCUCACUGGCCCGGAACUGACGCUCAUGCACGAAAGCGUGGGGAGCAAGCAGG
rnacentral:rRNA from 1 species